rnacentral:rRNA from 1 species
UACGUAGGCAGCGAGCGUUGUUCGGAUUUACUGGGCGUAAAGGGCGCGUAGGCGGAUUUUUAAGUCAGGGGUGAAAUCCCAAGGCUCAACCUUGGAACUGCCUUUGAUACUGGGAAUCUUGAGUCCGGGAGAGGUGAGUGGAACUGCGAGUGUAGAGGUGAAAUUCGUAGAUAUUCGCAAGAACACCAGUGGUGAAGGCGGCUCACUGGCCCGGAACUGACGCUGAGGCGCGAAAGCGUGGGGAGCAAGCAGG